rnacentral:rRNA from 8 species
UAGCUCCGGGAAACUGGAAUUAAUACCGUAUACGCCCUACGGGGGAAAGAUUUAUCGGGGUAUGAUGAGCCCGCGUUGGAUUAGCUAGUUGGUGGGGUAAAGGCCUACCAAGGCGACGAUCCAUAGCUGGUCUGAGAGGAUGAUCAGCCACAUUGGGACUGAGACACGGCCCAAACUCCUACGGGAGGCAGCAGUGGGGAAUAUUGGACAAUGGGCGCAAGCCUGAUCCAGCCAUGCCGCGUGAGUGAUGAAGGUCUUAGGAUUGUAAAGCUCUUUCACCGAUGAAGAUAAUGACGGUAGUCGGAGAAGAAGCCCCGGCUAACUUCGUGCCAGCAGCCGCGGUAAUACGAAGGGGGCUAGCGUUGUUCGGAAUUACUGGGCGUAAAGCGCAUGUAGGCGGAUAUUUAAGUCAGGGGUGAAAUCCCGCAGCUCAACUGCGGAACUGCCUUUGAUACUGGGUAUCUUGAGUAUGGAAGAGGUGAGUGGAAUUCCGAGUGUAGAGGUGAAAUUCGUAGAUAUUCGGAGGAAC